rnacentral:snRNA from 1 species
GCUUGCCAUCGAGUACAACAGAAAUGUACCACACAGAGGUUAGCAUGGUCUCUGUUAAAGGAUGACAUGCAAAUUUGUGAAACUACCAAUAUUUUG